rnacentral:rRNA from 1 species
UACAGAGGUCUCGAGCGUUGUUCGGAUUCAUUGGGCGUAAAGGGCGCGUAGGCGGCGGGGUAAGUCUGGUGUGAAAUCUCGGAGCUCAACUCCGAAAUUGCACUGGAUACUGCUCUGCUAGAGGGCUGGAGAGGAGAUCGGAAUUCACGGUGUAGCAGUGAAAUGCGUAGAUAUCGUGAGGAAGACCAGUGGCGAAGGCGGCGACCUGGGCCAAUAUUGACGCUGAGGUGCGAAAGCGUGGGGAGCAAACAGG